rnacentral:tRNA from 1 species
GCCUCCAUGGUGUAAUGGUAGCACACUUGGGUAGUAUUCGAGAGGUCCAGGUUCGAGUCCCGUCGAGGGCA